UCCCUAACAGUUCAGUAGUUAGGACUCUGAGCUUCCAUUGCAGGAAACCCAGGUUCAAUCCCUGGUCAAGGAA
rfam:TPA: Bos taurus chromosome 7, whole genome shotgun sequence.